AUGAGCUCAGGUCAACACCCGCAGACUGACGGGCAAACCGAGCGUGUCAACCAGCAGGUGGAAGGGUAUCUCUGCUGUUUCAUCAGUGCCCACCCAAAUCGUUGGUCCAGUUGGCCGCCUCUUUGUGAACUCUGGUAUAAUACAAACUGGCACUCAUCGACGGGUCGUACUCCUUUCGAGCUGGUAUACGGGCAUGCUCCUCGUUACUUUGGUAUUUUUCCAGUGGAUGCUAUUGGAAAUUCUGAUGUCCAACAAUGGUUGAAUGAGCGACAUGUUGCCAUGGAAUCAGUCAAGCAACAUUCUCUACGGGCACCACAACAAAUGAAGGCUCAAGCCGACAAGCACAGGACAGAGAGAUCCUUCGAAGUGGGGGAGACAGUUUUUCUGAAGAUGCAACCUUAUAUUUAG
rnacentral:rRNA from 1 species